UACAGAGGUCCCGAGCGUUGUUCGGAUUCACUGGGCGUAAAGGGUGCGUAGGUGGUGAGGUAAGUCGGAUGUGAAAUCUCCAAGCUCAACUUGGAAACUGCAUUGGAAACUACCUUGCUAGAGGAUUUGAGGGGGGAUUGGAAUACUUGGUGUAGCAGUGAAAUGCGUAGAUAUCAGGAGGAAUACCGAUGGCGAAGGCAGGUCUCUGGGCUAUAACUGACGCUCAUGCACGAAAGCGUGGGGAGCAAACAGG
rnacentral:rRNA from 1 species